rnacentral:rRNA from 1 species
CCUACGGGAGGCAGCAGUGGGGGAUAUUGCACAAUGGGGGGAACCCUGAUGCAGCGACGCCGCGUGUGGGAAGACGGUCCUCUGGAUUUUAAACCACUUUCCCCAGGGACGAAGAUGACGGUACCUGGGGAGGAAGCUCCGGCUAACUACGUGCCAGCAGCCGCGGUAAUACGUAGGGAGCGAGCGUUGUCCGGAAUUACUGGGUGAAAAGGGAGCGUAGGCGGGGAUGCAAGUUGGGUGUCAAAACUACCGGCUCAACUGGGAGUCGCACUCAAAACUGCAGCUCUUGAGUGAAGUAGAGGCAGGCGGAAUUCCUAGUGUAGCGGUGAAAUGCGUAGAUAUUAGGAGGAACACCAGUGGCGAAGGCGGCCUGCUGGGCUUUUACUGACGCUGAGGCUCGAAAGUGUGGGGAGCAAACAGGAUUAGAUACCCUUGUAGUC